GGGAUUUUUGUUGUUCGUUUGUUUAUAUCCAUCCAUGGGAUGUUAAUUGGAUUUUGUGGCCCGCAGCUGGACCUCGAAACUAUAUAUCAAUCUACGGAUGUCUUCCGGAUCAUGGUACUGCGCCCCGGCCAGCUACGUCAGCACUGGCAGAAGGCGAAUUUGCCUGUUCCCUUUUCCGUUGGAUCGGGUUUGGGGACAUCUCGUACUUUGGUAUCAGGUUUCAUUACACGUUAACAUAUUUGACGGAUCGUUUGGUGGUGUUUGAAUCUCGACCUUCUGUGGCGGAAAAGUCUUCCGUCCCCGCCAAACAAGCUGUGUUGUUUACAUAGCAUGACUAUUUGAACAUAUUCGGUUCGUUCCCUUCAGUCAUUUUAACCACGGCCGGGGAUGUAGAUAUAUACUACCCCUCAGUCUACAUUGACGCGGCCGAAUUACAGAUGAUAUGCUUGCUUAUGCGCACGCGGGCCUCAGCACCUUUGAACUUCCACGGUAUACCUUCUGUAUACCUCUUACAUGCAUCCAUGGAUGGCCACCACUGGUAAGUUGAUUUCGGUAAAAAUUCGGAAGGAAAAACUUUCAGAUCAGUUGGGGGGGAAGGGGAGGGGCGAGAUGACUUUUAUCUGCAUAGAUCCUGCGCAAAUUAAUCACUGUCAGGUGAUUUGGACGGGCAAAAAGUUUUGGUCAAAAGGGUAUUUUGGGCUGGGAUUGAUGUGGUAAUAUUUUGUGAUGUGCUCUGAGUAGUUAUGUUUAUUUAGGAUUUUCCCGUGUGUAUGGGACAUGGGUGGUAGAUACAAUCGAAGGCAAUGAUCCUCGAUGCGAACGAACCUUUGCUGAAGUUGCCUAGGUACUGGAAAGUGUAUGAUUUAAGUUAGAUCUUGUUUUCCAGGUGCGGAUGCGGAUUUUCCUCAUUGCUCUUUUGAAAUCUCUCAAACUCCUCCCAGCAAUUACUCUUUUAAGAUCCUCUGGGAUCAAUUGCCACAUAAAGAGAACUUCCGGCUCAGAACUUGAUCCUGUUCUCCCCGGUAUAGGUGUUUGUAUAGGUGUUUGUCCGUAUACACAGUGAACUUAUGCAACCGCACCGCUGCGCUGUUUUUUGUUUUUCUCCACUCUGCCCAGGCUGGCGGGUGAGGACAGGCUACACUAAUAAAUUUGGAGUCAUUGAGCAGGGCUAAGAGAAAAGGAAAUCAUACAUCAUAUUGAUUAUUAAGGAAGAAAAAUCAAAACAGAGGGGCCGAAUGACAACAGUGCAGUGUUUAUCCGUCACAGACCGAGCUGGAUAUUGAAGAAUAUGGGGGUGAAUUUUCUUGAGGACCUUCCUCUCGUUCCGACGCAGAAGUGAUACCAAGCUUCUUUGGGGUCAGUUAAUGGUUAUCAGGGAAAAAAUUUGUUCCAUUUUAUCAUCAUUGAUGUCCAGAUAUAGCUGACUUGUGGAUUGUUUCCGGUUUGCCGUGUCCAAUUCUGGAAAUUGGGUCUCUUUUGGGAGGUGGGGAGCGUGGCCUGGAUUGAAACGUACCCAACCUCGGUCAAUCUUUGGCAAUUAAACCAAGGCAUUCGGUUUAAGGUUGGGUUCCAUUUUCGGGAGCCAUGUGGUCCGUAUUCGUUUCCUAACGAGUAACUUGACAAGGUAGGGGCUUUCCCCCUUUCAGUUUCAAGAGGUAGAGGUUUAGGGGCGAAGGCAUUCAACGCCGAAUCAGUUCGGAGCAAGGAGUUCGGCAUGUUGCUGCCAGCGUAACCACGGUUCUUCCAGCGGGGCCUCUGUUGCUUCUUUAUAUAUAUCACUCUUAUCCAUGGAUGCGGUCGUCUCGAUUUUGGAGCUCAAAAUAUUCGCGUCACUGCUGUAACUGUAAGCUUGCUCGCAUAUGGUUUAAAAUGACUGCGCACGAUGAAAGUUCGCUCACCCUGAAAAACAUGUUCAACCCGUUUUUAAAACCACCACUUCAAAAAUCUACUUUGUGCGCGGAUAUCCUCUCGAGAAUUUACAGGUCCCUGGAUUUUGGGGUGUCGCAAGACAAACGCAUGUUGCAAAAGUUUGUUGUUUUACGAUGACGUGCUGUGUCAUGAUGAAGCCGGAAAAGCAGUUGGAGCUAGCGCAGCGGCCGCCAAGCCACGGGAAGCUAAUCAUCGAAAUUCAGUGGGCCGAAUAGGGCUCUGCCGAAUCGAAGACGAUGAUUCCAUUUGGCACUGAUUCCGAAUAUCGUUGGAGUCCUUCCGUACUGUGCGGCCGUUUUCAUCAUCAUUAUUGGGGUUAUAGGUUCCAUCUUAGAUAGCGCCGUCGUUGAUGAUUUGGAAUGCACCCACGCUAUCCCGGGGAAUGUAUUACUAAUUCCUGGGGCAUGGUAAGUAACUACGGUGCAAAACCAUGUUCCACAAUUUAAGCAUGCCCGUGUGCUGCAUCGCGUUUAGGCGUUUGCAAAAUUCCGAGAAAGGAAGCCCAGAAAUAAACUCCUGUGUAUCGAGUACCGGGCGGGUAGAUAGUAUUUGUUAUCAUGGGUUAAUCUCCGUAACAAAAUUGUACAGUACCUACUUUGUCUGCCAGUUAUUUCAGGAUUCUAGAUAUUAAUAGGGUCGGUGAGUAGGCUCGAAUGAUUGAGCCCUGUGAGAAGGUGGAGGAGAAUAACCUUUUCCCAAAUCGAGGACAGCUCUGGGGUUUCUCAGAUUCUCUCUCUCCUCAAUUCUUUCUAUCCAGCUAACUUUUCUAACUUCUAACUUUAAUCUGUUCCUGAGUUUGAACUGAGCCCCCCCUCGGGUAUGUGUGGUUUAUGAGCAGAAUAGCUACGAUGCCGUCGUAUGGCGUGAUUUGUAUAUUCGCAUGGGGUGCCUGUGGUUUGAACGUCGUAGACCACGAUCAAAUGUAACCCUGCAGGACUGAGCACAAUUCAACAGAGCCGAUUCAACACAGAGUGAGGACAGCCGAAAAAAUGAGCUAAUCUCGGUUGGGAACCCAGCUCCCAAGGUAUGUACUGUACGUACAGUACAUGUACAGUAGUACCAUGCGCAAGAAAAUACCACAGCAUUCAUAGAUUAUUGCUACCUAGGUUAUACCUGGUUCGCUGUCUACUCUCUCGUUCACCUCGAGAUGCUAGGCAUGGACCAGCCAAGAUUCCAAGGAAUGAAAGUGUGUUGAACAUACAGCGCUGCUAAUCAGGGUCCAAUUCUAAACUUCUUUAAGACCUCCUAGGGCCACUUUCUGCACCGUUUACUCCGUAGUUAGUUAUCUGAUAUAUAUAAGUUAGUUAUAGAAAAUUAUUAAAUUCGCUAGAGUCACCAAUAGCGGAGCAGUUAACUCAGAAAUGCAUACCAGUAUCUCUACCUAAAUAGUCCACUCUGGGGGAUCGUAUGAUGUUGUACCAUGUAGCAGUAGCUUCUACGUAGUAGACGAAGAGCCCGAUGGCAACAACUACCGAUUCUUUUUUCAACAAUGGGGACUUCAAAAGCUUGGAACAGGUCCUUGCGCAGACUAGAAAUUUAUACGGAUACAUCAGCUGCUAAGACCACUAAACAGUUGGGGUCGGUUUAGAGGCUUGAGGCCUAAAGCUUGGCUGUCAAGGUUAGGCAUCAGGCCCCAUAACUUCCACCGUGAGGACUCUGGUAUUGAGAUUUCCAUUUGAAUUUCUUGCGUAUUGCAAGGACUGGCUCAAGCCUCUGAUCCAACCUUUUUUGCUAUGCACUCAAAAUGCAGGAAGCAGAUUUGCGCCACGGUUGCUUUUUCUUUUCCCUUCCUUCUCCUCUUUCUCUGUUGUGAUGCUCAAAAUGUAGGCAUCGAGCCAUCAGCGGGCGGGUGUCCUGAAGGACACUAUUUCAACACUGCUAAACAGUGGAACGGCCCUCCGCUUCAAUGCCACUGAUUAUUCUUCGCGCAAUGGCUGGCCCAUAUAAACCCUUCAAUCUUCCAGUUCUUCCAAUCCGCGUCCCGCUUAAUCUGUACAGUUUGUGAGAAUUGCGGCGCACUGCCCUCAGAUGGAUCACAUUAUCAGCUGCCUGAAAUUCUGGAUAUACUUAUUAAAGGGGCAUCUGCGGUGUACAAAACACUUUCCCCUCUGAUGCUAUUCCGUACGGGAUCGUGAGUGCAUGCAUCUCGGCAUUUAGAAAUAUAUAUUAUCAUGUUUCAAUUUCAAUUGUAUGCCGCCUCUGCAGAUUAGAGACCAAGUUAUAUUCCAUCCCUGGCAAAUGGUGGGGAUGCCACUUUGUGGCUUGUCCCCAGAGUUAUGGUUUGAUCCGUGGUACGGAAAAUGCAAUUCACGCAAAUGAGGACCAAACAGUCGCGCUGGACAAGUGCAAGUGCCCCCAAUUUCAUGAUACUCUCCCAUCAUGGCGCCUUUGUCUUUUCCCCUUUCUCUCUUUGUUUUAUCGCGAUCUCAUCUCCUCAUGGCAUGGCGGAGGCAGCGCCUCAAACUUGUUUUGUGAACAGGUGUUCCGCAAUGAAGAUGCAAAGCAAUUUUGCAGCCGCAGAAAUCGCAGCCUCUCUCAAACCUUGGUCCGGUUCGAAAUCUGCUGGGUCAUACCCAAGCCUUUGCGACGAUCCGGGCCACAGAAAUGUUUUUAGCAGCUCUAAGUCUCCUCGAUGCCAAGGCUUCAUACAAUGGUAGGAGAUCCAAUCGCGGUCCGCUUUCUGCGCCAAAACACAGAGGAGACCAAUGGAUCUCCCGUUGCUGAGGAGGAUAUAUAUGUGUGUGCUUCCCGCGCGAAUUGCCGUUUUGGUUGAAAAUGGUCUGUCAAUGGUCUGUCAAUGGUCUGUCAAUGGUCUGUCACUCAUUACUAUUAUUGUUGCUGAACACUCAGGGAUUUUCAAUCGGCGCCAGCGAAUCUGGCUGGGGGGGUAAACACCGUUCAUUUUUCAGACUCUCCAGCCCACGAGAAGAACCCGCGGGGUUCGCGCGACUGUGUUGUGUUCCAUGCCAUGCGGAAGAGCCCCUGCUGAGGCCAUAAUAUCGUUGGAUUAUACAGUCUGUACAGUCUGUAUACCUGCUGGAGGCUACACCAUUCUGUAGUCUACGGGGUCCACGGCAUCCACGGUGUCCGCGGUCGCCCAGCAACAGAUGCCAUUUCCAGAUAAAUACCACGAGCUCUCUCUCUCUCUAUAUACAUAUUGCAUUUGCCGAACCUCUUGAAGUGUGAAACCAAUUCCUUUUCAUCUCUGACGCAGAUUUGAACAGAAGAGUCGGAUCUUGUGCGUAUAUUUCGCCGGGCUAGUCAAAGUAUGGCGGGACAAGAGGCUAGGAGUGAGGUCCGCCAGCGCAAAAAGGAAUCUAAUACCAUCCACCCAGAAAACACAACAGCAAUAGCCAAGCAGACAUCAACGGAUGAUGAGGCCGAGUUUGAGUUCGGGGGUGUGUUGGGUGCGUGUGUUAUAAUGAUUGGAUCCCCAUUGAUCAUGUACUAUAUGUACAUCGGGGCGACGUUUUACGACGGCAAAUUCCCCACUCGAGAAGAGGGCCAAAGCUUCUCAGAGUUCCUCGUGCACCUAGUGGAUCUGGCAUACACUCAUGCUUUCCCGCAUCGGAAAGCCUGGAUAAUAUAUUGGACAAUGAUGGUGCUCGAAGGCGCUGGUUAUCUUCUGCUCCCCGGCGUAUAUGGCAAGGGAAAGCGACUCGCCCACUUGGGCGGCAAGCAGCUUGACUACUACUGCUCAGCUCUAUGGGCAUGGUACCUGACAAUUGCCGUGGCUGUGGGAUUGCAUGUAUCCGGUGUCUUUAAGUUAUAUACACUCAUCGACGAAUUCGGACCCUUGAUGAGCGUGGCGAUCUGCUCUGGGCUUCUGUGCUCCUUUGUAGCGUAUUUCUCGGCCAUUGCGAGAGGUGUACAACAUCGCAUGACUGGGUCCGCUAUCUAUGACUUCUUUAUGGGCGCGGAGCUUAAUCCGCGUAUGUUUGGAUUGUUGGAUAUCAAGAUGUUCCUCGAAGUCCGUAUCCCGUGGUAUUUGCUCUUCCAUUUUACACUGGGAGCGGCUUUUAGACAGUUUGAACAGCUCGGUUAUGUUUCUGGAGAGGUCUGCUUCCUCCUCAUGGCCCAUUUCCUUUACGCCAAUGCAUGCGCAAAGGGAGAAGAACUCAUCAUCACCAGCUGGGACAUGUACUAUGAGAAACUUGGCUUCCUCCUUAUCUUCUGGAAUAUGGCCGGUGUACCAAUGACAUACUGCCACUGCACCCUAUACCUGGAUAGGAACCAUCCGUCGACUUAUCAUUGGAGCCCUUGGGCGUUGGCAUUCCUUUACGUUUCGUAUAUCUUUGCUUAUUGGGUAUGGGAUACAAGUAAUAGUCAGAAGAAUAUGUUCCGGGCGCAGGAACAUGGUUUCAUGGUGGAUCGCAAAACAUUCCCACAGCUCCCCUGGAAAGUCGCCAAAAACCCGGAAUGUAUCCGCACCGAAACAGGAGAUUCUAUUUUGUGCAGUGGAUGGUUCGGACUGGCGCGCAAGGUGCAUUACACAUGUGACUUUUAUUUCGCCGGUUGCUGGGGCUUAAUCACCGGGUUUAAAUCGCCUUUCCCCUGGUUCUAUCCAGUAUUUUUUACCGUGAUGAUAAUCCAUCGGGCUCGAAGGGAUAUCCAUCGCUGCCGGAUAAAAUAUGGUGCAGCUUGGGAAGAGUAUGAACGCAGAGUUCCAUAUCUAUUCAUUCCAUAUGUCAUCUGAAUGGCUUUUUGCCGUGUCCUGAAAAGAAUAUGGGUGAUGGUGUCCCAUGAUCUUUACUUAACUUUCCCAUAUAGAAGCCACGCACAGGAGAACCGAAGGCAAUUUCAAGAUUGCUUCUUGACCUCGGUUGCCUGGCUCAUUUUUCAUAUUCUGUAUUAAACGUUAAUUAAAGAAUUCUAUAUAAAGUUGCACACAUACCAUUGAUGACUUUGAAAGGUCCCAAAAAGAAAAUAGCAAAAUAUAUUAAUGCAUCGGACGUGAAGCUAUAUAUCGUUGUCCACAGAAAUUGAACCCAGGGUUCUUUAGGAUGUUCAUACGCUUGAAAUCGUAGAUUUUGCAUCCUGGUCUAAUACUAGUCCGUGGGGCGUGAUUUCAUCCCAGGGUUUGCUUGCAGCCACACCUUUUGAGCGGGGCAUGGAGCCUUCAAAUCUUGAGUGGUUACGUGAAGUUUAGGCGGAGAAUAUCUGUCCCGGGCCUGUUCGUUCCCAGGAAAUCAUUCAAGAAACCAGAAAUAUCAGCACUGUCCAUAUUAAAAUCGUACAUAUCUUCUGUCCAUGAGAUAUCUGGGAAGGUAAUCUGGGUCUGUCCAUCAGCCAUAAAAGGGAGUACAAGUGAGCCAUCGGCGUGGUGUUCCAGGCCGUUCAGGGUUCGUUGGGAAUUGAUCAAGGCAUCGGCAAUGGUGAGAAACGCUUUGCAUAUUUCGUAGAGAUGUUGGGAGCCGCGGGAAAGAUCCUUGACCAGUUCGAGUGAGCCGACUGUUUCCUGGAGUAAGGCAAGUUCCUCCAAGUCUCCGGUGGCAAUUGCGUGUGUGAAGAGGAUGACGAAUGGUGUGAAGGAAGGGUAGAGAAGAAUCCAGGUUACAUAUUCAGCUUUCUUGUGGCUUUUGCGUUCACGGAAGUAAGGAAAGCAUUUCAAGUGACUCUGUAAACCUAGUUUGGCUGCCUCCAGGCAUUUGGAACUUAUAGCCAUGGCAUUCGGAGACAUCUGGGC
rnacentral:sRNA from 1 species